rnacentral:rRNA from 1 species
UACGGAGGGGGCUAGCGUUGUUCGGAAUUACUGGGCGUAAAGCGCACGUAGGCGGCUUUGUAAGUUAGAGGUGAAAGCCCGGAGCUCAACCCCGGAAUAGCCUUUAAGACUGCAUCGCUUGAACGUCGGAGAGGUGAGUGGAAUUCCGAGUGUAGAGGUGAAAUUCGUAGAUAUUCGGAAGAACACCAGUGGCGAAGGCGGCUCACUGGACGACUGUUGACGCUGAGGUGCGAAAGCGUGGGGAGCAAACAGG